AUUGAACGCUGGCGGCAGGCCUAACACAUGCAAGUCGAGCGGUAGAAGGGAACAGGCUGCUGGAUCCAGGAGGGGAGGGGGAAGGAAUGGCUAGGAAUCGGAAAGGGAGUGGGGGAGAACGUCCAGAAACGGGCACGAAUGCCGCAAACGCACAGCGUGAGAAAGCGGAGGAGCGUCGGACUUCACGCUCUCAGCAGAGGCUAGGUGGGAUUAGCUAGUUGGUGGGGUAACGGCAAACCUAGGCGACGAUCCCUAACUGGUCUGAGAGGAUGAGCAGUCACACUGGAACUGAGACACGGUCCAGACUCCUACGGGAGGCAGCAGUGGGGAAUAUUGGACAAUGGGCGCAAGCCUGAUGCAGCCAUGCCGCGUGUGUGAAGAAGGCCUUCGGGUUGUAAAGCACUUUAAGUUGGGAUGAAGGGAAGUAAGUUAAUACCUUGCUGCUUUGACGUUACCAACAGAAUAAGCACCGGCUAACUCCGUG
rnacentral:rRNA from 1 species